GGGGGAGGUUUAUUGCAGAGCCAGGUUACAGAGCAGGGAGGCCUUUGGUUGUGACUCCGCCAAGAAGGCAGGCGUCUGAGGACUGGACUGGGACCGAUGGGGCCUGGGGCUGCUGGAGUAGCCUGAGGGGUGGUGGUUAAACACAUGCAGGCCAGUUCUCCAGGGAAGGCGCACACAGUUUGAUAUUAAUGCUGACAAGUGAAGUGCCCUGAGGAGAAGGGGCUGUGGUAACACUGGUGACUGAUGUGCCCGGAGGGGAGACGGUGUCGUUAAUCUUAGGGCAGGUCUACAUUUUAAAGUUGCACUGGUACAGCUGUCGUGUACACCACCCCCCGAGGGGCAGUAGCUCUGUCGAUGGGAGACGCCCCUUCAACCGACAGUGCUGCUCUGCGCUGGGGGUUAGGUUGGCAUCACUGGGUUGCUGGGUGAGGGGAGAUUUUUUACACCCCGGAGUGACAUAGUUAUACCAACCUAAUUUCCUAGUGAAGACGUGGCCUGAGCUGAAGGGACAUAGGGUUGGAAAAGGCGCAUCUGUCACUAGCAGGAGGGAAAUUGGCAUCUGUAGUGAGUAGAAGACCUCACUAGCGGAAGAGAUACAGGCAGGCACCCAGUGGCAUGAGUAAGGGAAGGCCUCAUUGUAGCGAGUGGGAGGAAUGUGGUGGCCUUGUGACGGGUAUGGAGGAAAAGAUCUGGUUGGCACUAGCAGGAGGAAUAUGGUGCCCUGAAGGCACACAGGGGAGGUGGUCUCAUUAGCGCUAGCAGGAGUGGCGUGGUGCCUUGGGGGCACACAGGGGAAAAGGUCUCAUUAGCACUAGCAGGAGGGCCGUGGUGCCCCGGGGGUGCACAGGGGAGAAGGUCUUGUUAGCGCUAGGGUGAUCAGUUGUCCCAAUUUUAUAGGGACAGUCCCGAUUUUUGGGUCUUUUUCUUAUAUAGGCUCCUAUUACCCCCCACCCCCAUCCUGAUUUUUCACACUUGCUGUCUGGUCACCCUACGUUAGCGCUAGCAGGAGGGGCGUGGUGCCCCAGGGGCACACAGGGGAGAAGGUCUCGUUAGCGCUAGCAGGAGGGGCAUGGUGCCCUAGGGCCACAUGGGGAGAAGGUCUGGUUGGCGCUAGCAGGAGGGGCGUGGUGCCCUGGGGGCACACAGGGGAGAAGGUCUCGUUAGUGCUAGCAGGAGGGGUGUGGUGCCCUGGGGGCGCAUGGAGAGAAGGUCUCGUUAGCGCUAGCAGGAGGGGCAUGGUGCCCUGGGGGCGCACGGGGAGAAGGUUUCGUUAGUGCUAGCAGGAGGGGCAUGGUGCCCUGGGGGCGCACAGGGAGAAGGUCUCGUGAGCGCUAGCAGGAGGGACGUGGUGCCCUGGGGGCACAUGAGGAGAAGGUCUGGCUGGCACUAGCAGGAGGGGCGUGGUUCCCGGGGGCGCACAGGGAGAAGGUCUCGUUAGCGCUAGCAGGAGGGGCGUGGUGCCCUGGGGG